UACGUAGGGGGCUAGCGUUGUCCGGAAUCAUUGGGCGUAAAGAGCGUGUAGGCGGCCCGGUAAGUCCGCUGUAAAAGUCAAAGGCUCAACCUUUGAAUGUCAGUGGAUACUGCCGGGCUAGAGUCCGGAAGAGGCGAGUGGAACUCCUGGUGUAGCGGUGGAAUGCGCAGAUAUCAGGAAGAACACCAACGGCGAAGGCAGCUCGCUAGGACGGUACUGACGCUGAGACGCGAAAGCGUGGGGAGCGGACAGG
rnacentral:rRNA from 1 species